CGUGUGGUUUAAUUCGAUGCUACACGAGAACCUUACCAGGGUUGACAUACAAGUAGUAGGGAAGGAAACUGGACCGACCUUCGGGAGCUUGUACAGGUGCUGCAUGGCUGUCGUCAGCUCGUGUCGUGAGAUGUUCGGUUAAGUCCGCUAACGAGCGCAACCCUCGCUGUGUGUUACAAGUGUCACACGGAGCUGCCGGUCAUAAACCGGAGGAAGGUGGGGAUGACGUCAAGUCAGCAUGGCCUUUAUAUCCUGGGCUACACACACGCUACAAUGGUCUGUACAAUAGGUUGCCAAGCCGCGAGGCGGAGCCAAUCCUUAAAGCAGGCCUCAGUUCAGAUUGUAGGCUGCAACUCGCCUGCAUGAAGAUGGAGUUGCUAGUAACCGCAGGUCAGCAAUACUGCGGUGAAUACGUUCCCGGGUCUU
rnacentral:rRNA from 1 species